rnacentral:rRNA from 1 species
CUUGGGAGAAUGUAUAGUCCUCUUAUGAGGCUAGUUAUGUUUUUGAGUAGUAAUGCACCUGGAUGGGGUUACACAAUAAAACAUAAUACCAACUACGUUGGAUAAAGUUCUAGAUAGAAUACUGAUUAUGACUAUUUUCUAUCUACAUGUCUUGACCAAAUUACGUGCCAGCCGUCGCGGUAAUACGUAGAAGACUAGUGUUAUUCAUCUUUAAUAGGUUUAAAGGGUACCUAGACGGUAUUACUAACCCAAACAGGGAAAUAGUUUUGCUAGAGUUUAAUAUGAGAAGGCGAGUAUUUACGGAGUAGAGAUAAAAUUCUUUGAUACUUUAAGGACUGGUAAAGGCGAAAGCAACCUUCUAUGUAAUAACUGACGUUGAGGGACGAAGGCUUGGAUAGCGAACAGGAUUAGAUACCCUAGUAGUCUUUGCAGAAAAUGAUGAAUGCCAUAGACUAGACUUGUUUUGGUCUAUAAAUGAAAGUGUAAGCAUUCCACCUCAAGAGUAAUGUGGCAACGCAGGAACUGAAAUCAUUAGACCGUUUCUGAGAACAGUAGUGAAGUAUGUUGCUUAAUUCGAUGACCCUCGAAAAACCUUACCACAACUUGAAUGAUGUCAUCUGUAGAUUAAGGUAAUAUAGAUACCUUAAUUAAGGUGGUGUUACAAGUGUUGCACGGUUGUCUUCAGCUAAUGUCGUGAGAUUUUGGUUAGUUCCAUAAAAUUAGCGUAAACCCUGGCUUUAUUUUUAAAUUAUUAUCAUAAAGCAGUUCAUCACUAUAUUGAAUAUAUGAUAACUGGGAUCAAGAC